GAUGGCCAUAUCACGUUGAAACACUAGUUCCUGUACGAUCACCGAAGUUAAGCAACGUCGAGCCUUGUCACUACAUAGAUGGGUGACCGCUUAGGAAUAACGUGCUGCAAG